rnacentral:rRNA from 1 species
CCUACGGGUGGCAGCAGUGGGGGAUAUUGCACAAUGGGGGAAACCCUGAUGCAGCGACGCCGCGUGAGGGAAGAAGUACUUCGGUAUGUAAAGCUCUAUCAGUAGGGAAGAAAAUGACAGUACCUGACCAAGAAGCUCCGGCUAACUACGUGCCAGCAGCCGCGGUAAUACGUAGGGGGCAAGCGUUAUCCGGAUUUAGUGGGUGUAAAGGGUGCGUAGGCGGGCUGGAAAGUCAGCGGUCAAAGCCGUGGGCUCAACCCGGGGCCGCCGUUGAAACGGGCUGUCUUGAGUUGGGGAGAGGCAGGCGGAAGGCGGGGUGUAGCGGUGAAAUGCGUAGAUAUCAGGAAGAACUCCGAUGGCGAAGGCAGCCUGCGGGCU